GAUUAGUUCAGUUGGAUAGAGCAUCCCGAUUUCUAAUCGGGAAGGUCAUUGGUUCGAAUCCUGUCCGGAUCA
rnacentral:tRNA from 1 species